rnacentral:rRNA from 1 species
GAUGAACGUUGGCGGCGUGCCUAAUACAUGCAAGUAGAACGCUGAAGCUUGGUGCUUGCACCGAGCGGAAGAGUUGCGAACGGGUGAGUAACGCGUAGGUAACCUGCCUCUUAGCGGGGGAUAACUAUUGGAAACGAUAGCUAAUACCGCAUAAAAGUCGACAUUGCAUGAUGUUGACUUGAAAGGUGCAAAUGCAUCACUAAGAGAUGGACCUGCGUUGUAUUAGCUAGUUGGUGAGGUAACGGCUCACCAAGGCGACGAUACAUAGCCGACCUGAGAGGGUGAUCGGCCACACUGGGACUGAGACACGGCCCAGACUCCUACGGGAGGCAGCAGUAGGGAAUCUUCGGCAAUGGACGGAAGUCUGACCGAGCAACGCCGCGUGAGUGAAGAAGGUUUUCGGAUCGUAAAGCUCUGUUGUAAGAGAAGAACGAGUGUGAGAGUGGAAAGUUCACACUGUGACGGUAACUUACCAGAAAGGGACGGCUAACUACGUGCCAGCAGCCGCGGUAAUACGUAGGUCCCGAGCGUUAUCCGGAUUUAUUGGGCGUAAAGCGAGCGCAGGCGGUUAGAUAAGUCUGAAGUUAAAGGCUGUGGCUUAACCAUAGUACGCUUUGGAAACUGUUUAACUUGAGUGCAGAAGGGGAGAGUGGAAUUCCAUGUGUAGCGGUGAAAUGCGUAGAUAUAUGGAGGAACACCGGUGGCGAAAGCGGCUCUCUGGUCUGUAACUGACGCUGAGGCUCGAAAGCGUGGGGAGCAAACAGG